rnacentral:rRNA from 1 species
GGAAUCGCUAGUAAUCGCGGAUCAGAAUGCCGCGGUGAAUACGUUCCCGGGUCUUGUACACACCGCCCGUCACACCAUGGGAGUCGGUAACGCCCGAAGUCAGUGACCCAACCCUAAAGGAGGGAGCUGCCGAAGGCGGGACUGGUAACUGGGGUGAAGUCGUAACAAGGUAUC